rnacentral:rRNA from 1 species
CGACGUGGAUAACCUGCCUCACACAGGGGGAUAACAGUUGGAAACGACUGCUAAUACCGCAUAAGCGCACAGCACCGCAUGGUGCAGUGUGAAAAACUCCGGUGGUGUGAGAUGGAUCCGCGUCUGAUUAGCUUGUUGGCGGGGUAACGGCCCACCAAGGCGACGAUCAGUAGCCGGCCUGAGAGGGCGACCGGCCACAUUGGGACUGAGACACGGCCCAG